GUGCUUGCUUGGCAGCAUAUAUACUAAAACUGGAUCCCUACAGAGAAGAUUAGCAUGGCCCCUGCAGAAAGAUGACACGCAAAGUCGUGAGGCGUUUCAUAUUAAA